rnacentral:rRNA from 1 species
UACAGAGGGGGCAAGCGUUGUUCGGAAUUACUGGGCGUAAAGGGCGCGUAGGCGGCCUGCUAAGUCGAACGUGAAAUCCCCGGGCUUAACCCGGGAACUGCGUCCGAUACUGGUGGGCUUGAAUCCGGGAGAGGGAUGUGGAAUUCCAGGUGUAGCGGUGAAAUGCGUAGAUAUCUGGAGGAACACCGGUGGCGAAGGCGGCAUCCUGGACCGGUAUUGACGCUGAGGCGGCGAAAAGCUAGGGGAGCAAACAGGG